rnacentral:rRNA from 1 species
UAGGUGUGGGGGACAUUCCACGUUUUCCGCGCCGUAGCUAACGCAUUAAGUGCCCCGCCUGGGGAGUACGGCCGCAAGGCUAAAACUCAAAGGAAUUGACGGGGGCCCGCACAAGCGGCGGAGCAUGCGGAUUAAUUCGAUGCAACGCGAAGAACCUUACCAAGGCUUGACAUACACCGGAUCGCUGCAGAGAUGCAGUUUCCCUUCGGGGCUGGUGUACAGGUGGUGCAUGGUUGUCGUCAGCUCGUGUCGUGAGAUGUUGGGUUAAGUCCCGCAACGAGCGCAACCCUUAUCCUAUGUUGCCAGCACGUAAUGGUGGGGACUCAUGGGAGACUGCCGGGGUCAACUCGGAGGAAGGUGGGGAUGACGUCAAAUCAUCAUGCCCCUUAUGUCUUGGGCUUCACGCAUGCUACAAUGGCCAGUACAGUGGGUUGCGAUGCCGUGAGGUGGAGCUAAUCCCUAAAAGCUGGUCUCAGUUCGGAUCGAAGUCUGCAACUCGACUUCGUGAAGUUGGAGUCGCUAGUAAUCGCA